AUCUUGAUUGGACUUGGCAGCCAAUCUUAUUAACUGUUAAAGUUACUUCUUGUAAGAAGAGGAAAAACCCAUUAGGUGAGAUUAAACAUUCCAAACUUUGAGCUUGAGCAUUUCAAUUAAUUGUCCAACAACUUUUUCUGAUGUACCACCAAUUUCCCAAGCCCGUUUGGCCUCUUCGCCCACCUUCUGAGCCAUGGACCUCAACUUGUGAUCUUGCAUUAGCUCUUCAAUCUUCUCCUCAAUCUCUUCCGACUUCACCAAUCUCUCGCCCAGCCAACCCCAAUGUUUUGGCCACAACCCCAACCCUGCCUUCUCCACCACCUCUGCGUUAAACCUUUGGUCCCCGUUAAGUGUCCAUGCAAGCAUUGGUACUCCUCUCUGAG
rnacentral:misc_RNA from 1 species